GCCGCAUUAGACUAGUGGUUAGGUCACCAGCCUCUCAAGUUGGUAACACCGGUUCGAAUCCGGUAUGCGGCA
rnacentral:tRNA from 3 species